UACGAAGGGGGGCUAGCGUUGUUCGGAAUUACUGGGCGUAAAGCGCACGUAGGCGGGCGAUUAAGUCAGGGGUGAAAUCCCAGAGCUCAACUCUGGAACUGCCUUUGAUACUGGUCGUCUCGAGAUCGGAAGAGGUGAGUGGAAUUCCCAGUGUAGAGGUGAAAUUCGUAGAUAUUGGGAAGAACACCAGUGGCGAAGGCGGCUCACUGGACCGGAACUGACGCUGAGGCGCGAAAGCGUGGGGAGCAAACAGG
rnacentral:rRNA from 1 species